rnacentral:piRNA from 1 species
UCCUAACCAUAUGAUAUCGGCCUCACUAU